UACGAAGGGGGCUAGCGUUGCUCGGAAUCCCUUGGCGUAAAGCGCACGUAGGCGGAUUGUUAUGUCAGGGGUGAAAUCCUGGAGCUCAACUCCAGAACUGCCUUUGAUACUGGCGAUCUUGAGUCCGGGAGAGGUGAGUGGAACUGCGAGUGUAGAGGUGAAAUUCGUAGAUAUUCGCAAGAACACCAGUGGCGAAGGCGGCUCACUGGCCCGGUACUGACGCUGAGGUGCGAAAGCGUGGGGAGCAAACAGG
rnacentral:rRNA from 1 species